GUCUAUGGCCAUACUUCCCUGGACGCACCCUGUCUGGUCUAAUCUCAGAAGCUAAGCAGGGUUGAGAGCUUGUUAGUACUUGGUUGGAAGACAAUUUGGAGAGCAGUAAAAUGUUGGUGGUAGAGU
rnacentral:rRNA from 1 species